UGCCUAAGGGGGACUGUGUUUGGCUUCUGGUCAACCAGUGUGGUACUGUAGAAGCUCUUUUGUUACUGGCUUGGUGAAUCUAAUUAUAGAAUAAACCACCAGACUGGGGGAUUGUCUGCCCUGUUUCUUGCAGCCUGAGGGUGGCAUUCUCAGUGUGGCCCCUCCAGGAAUCUGGC